UGAGAAACGGCUGUCACAUCCAAGGAAGGCAGCAGGCGCGCAAAUUACCCAAUCCCCGAACGGGGAGGUAGUGACGAGAAAUAGCGAUGCCGCAAUCUUUUGAUUCGGCAAUUGAAAUGAGAACAAUGAAAGAAUUUUAUCGAGAAUCUAUUGGAGGGCAAGUUCUGGUGCCAGCAGCCGCGGUAAUUCCAGCUCGAAAAGCGUAUGUUAAAGUUGCUGCGGUUAAAACGCUCGUCGUUGGACAUCAGGAAAUGGUUCGUGGACGGCCUAGAGUCGGUACUACGGAUUCACUCCUUUUUAUGCCAGUUCAUCGAUGAUUCACUUUAUUGUGUGUCGCGGUAGAAGGUCAAUGUCACUUUGAGAAAAUUAGUGUGCUCAACGCAGGCUUUAUGCUUGAAUAAUGCUGCAUGGGAUGACGAAAUAGGGCCUCGGUUCCGUUUCGUUGGUUUACGAAAGCAGAGGUCAUGAUUAAUCGGGACAGACGGGGGCAUUCGUAUUGCGGUGCUAGAAGUGAAAUUCUGUGACCAUCGCAAGACGGACAACUGCGAAAGCAUUUGCCAAGAAUGUUUUCAUUAAUCAAGAACGAAAGUUAGAGGAUCGAAGACGAUUAGAUACCGUCCUAGUUCUAACUGUAAACUAUGCCGACUGGGGAUUCGCCAGUGCAAUUUAGCUUGGCGAGCACCCUCCGGGAAACCAAAGUGAUUGGGUUCCGGGGGGAGUAUGGUUGCAAAAUCGAAACUUAAAGGAAUUGACGGAGGGGCACACCAGAAGUGGAGCCUGCGGCUUAAUUUGACUCAACGCGCGAAAGCUUACUCGGUCCGAACACCGUGAGGAUUGACAGGUUGAAAGCUCUUUCUUGAUCCGGUGGGUAGCGGUGCAUGGCCGUUCGUAGUUGGUGAAGUGAUUUGUCUGGUUUAUUCCGAUAACGAACGAGACUCUAGCCUACUAAUUAGCGCAGUGAUUGUUUGUCGCUGCAAUGCUUCUUAGAGGGACAGGUGUUGCUUAAGCACACGAAGUAGAGCAAUAACAGGUCUGUGAUGCCCUUAGAUGUUCGAGGCUGCACGCGCGCUACAAUGGAGGGCACAAAGCGCACUAUGCAUAUCGGAAGAUGUGCGGAAUCGUAAAUAGCCUUCAUGACUGGGAUCGGAGAUUGAAAUUAUUCUUCGUGAACGAGGAAUUCCUAGUAAGCGCGAAUCAUUAUCUCGCGUUGAUUAAGUCCCUGCCCUUUGUACACACCGCCCGUCGCUACUACCGAUUGAAUGAUUUGGUGAGGUCUGUGGAUAGGUGUCACUGGGCUAACCACCCUGUUGACUUACCUAGAAGCUGCCCAAGCUUGAGCGUUUAGAGGAAGUAAAAGUC
rnacentral:rRNA from 1 species